rnacentral:lncRNA from 1 species
ACACGGACACACACAUGCAGAAAGACACACGGCUACACGGACCCCUCUAUUGGCUGAGUGGGACUGGCGCAGGUCAUCAUCUGAAGGUUAGUCUGUCACUUCUAUGCCAAGGUUGCCUUCCUGCCUGGUCACUGGCAUCUGACUUUGGGUGUUUGUGAGAUGAGCAAGCUGCUUAGGAUGUGCUCUCUGCGUGGCUUCACCUCCUCAGAGAGGUGGGCAAUGUCUAAAGACAUGUUUCUGUAGUCACAGCUUGAGGAGGGACUGAGGAGCACUUGGCAUCUGGCAGAGGACACAGGACUUCCCUACAUCUGUAGCCAAAAGGCUGAGAAAGCCUGGGUCAAGACCCCUGCAAACUGGCCUGGAGGAGGGACCAAGGCUGGCUCCCUGCAGAUAGGAAGUGGUAAAAUCUGGCAGUCGUCUGAGGACUAGGACAAGGCAUGAUGGGAUAGCACAGAACAGAGUGUUAGAAACAUCAAAAAGAGAAGGUGAAUGAGAGGCUGAAGUGGUCCAAGGUGCACUUGUGUGUCAGUCCAGGCAGCCUCAUUCCCUCCCUAGCCAGGUAGCCUGAGGUUUGUCAUUGUCCUAAACCUCAGCUACCCCAGCUGUACAGGGGGUAAAGUGAAGUUGCACAGAGCCUGAGAGGACGGUUAAUGGCUAAUGGGCUUGCUGAGUUCACAUUUCUAGUGCCCACAUAAACCAGGUGUGGCAGCACGUGUCUGUAACUGUAGCCCUGGGAGGCAGAGACAAGCCGAUCCUCGGAGCUUAGUCACCAGCCAAUCCUGACAGGUCAAUCAGGUUCAGGGAAAGAGCCUGUCUUAGAAUAUUACAGUAGAGGACUGAGGAGAUGGCUUAGAGCAGUGGUUAUACCCAGGAAAGGCCAUCGGGGGCCCUGGGUGUGGAAGGAUGUGCUCUCUCCGUUUUCCUGGCUCCUGUCUCUGCCCCUCCAGUAUGAUGAAGUGGAGAGGUGAACGCCCCUGAGCAAGCCACACAGCUUCUGAGAACCUCUGCUCCCUCACCUUUCCAGGAUCUCAGGUGCCUGUGGGACACUCCCUUCAGAGCCCCCAAAACAGGGCCUAACUCACUAUUUUAAAUUAUAUUGUGCCCCCCCCACCACCACCCGUGUGUGUAUGUCUGUGUGUGUGUGUGUGUUU